CACGGGUUGACCACCAUCUGAUUCACGAUUGCGCUUAGUAAAACUCGCCUAUAUUGGUGGAUUUCUGCUAGUUUUAUGAAGUAACAGAUGUGGUCAGCUUCUUAAACUAAAAUACAUCUUUUCCCCAGGGCGUUCAGGUGUAUCUUGCAGUGGAGGACGUCAACGUUCCAAAUGCCAAACACCAAAUCAUCACCAUCAUGAUAAAGAAACUACCUUACUCCACUCUGCCAGUAAUACCAGCGUUGCCAGUAGCGAUAGUGGCUCUAGCACCUCCUCGAUAUCACGGCUUUCACCCGUAAAUAAUAACAACGACAAUGUUUUACAGGUAGGAGAGUAAAGCCCAUUUUCCACUGGGCGAAUUUGUGCGAAAUCUUGGCAAUUUGCGCGAAAUCUUGGCAAUUUGCGCGAAAUCUUGGCAAUGUGAUUGGUCAGCGAAAAAGUGUGCCACGAAAAAGUUGGUUCGCGUUAUGUAGUCGAUGUUUGAUUUGGGUGAUUGCUAGAUAGUACACUUCAAAAUAAGGUUUCCGUUUUUAUAACGUAGAAAAAACUAUCUUAAAGGUAAACUACGUGAAGCGUUCCUCUUUUGAGUUUCUAAAUUGAUUGCAAUUUUCCUCAUUACUUUUGCAAUUUAAAAAAACUCCCUUGCAAAUCCCUUGAGGGAAUUUGCAAUGUUGCUAAAAGCC
rnacentral:lncRNA from 1 species